rnacentral:lncRNA from 1 species
AUUGAAUACAUCUAAUCAUUUAUAAAUUGUAAAAAUAAAUGCAACCCACUGCUCCUAAACAUCCUGAAUGACAUGUUCCUCCAUUGGGGAUGUGAAAAAGCAAUCUAACUAGGAGGGAAGCAUCAUGUAUUUGAUUUUAAAUUAUCAUAAGCAUAGUCACCUACUCUAAAGAACUAAAUGUCGAGUUUGUUGGUUUAGUUUAUAGCAUAUUCUGUUUCGGAAAAGGGAAAAAUAAAGUUUCAAAUAAAGCAGACACAUCCAUAACGACAAUGAGCGAAGGAGUGCACGAGAAUAAUGGCAAUCACUAAAACAGUGAGCAAGAACAAUGUCAACCCGAGAACGAGUGAACGACGAUGAAGAAGAAGGAGAGCGAAUGAAGGAAAACGAGAAAGAAAUAAUGGAAUCGACCGAACGAAUGCACGAGAACAAUGACAGUCACUUAACGAGUGAACGACAAUAAUGCCAACUAGAGAAAAGGAAGGAGAACGAGAACAAAAUAAUCCAAACGACCGAACGAGUGCACGACAACAAUGAAAAUCAUCGAACGAGUGAAUGAGAACUAAGCCAACCAAAGAAGGAGUGAACGAUGAUGAACGAGAAGGAGAACAAAUGAAGGAAAACCAAGGAAAAUGAAAGAGAACAAGAAUGAAAAAUAAAUGGCAGGACAAAGAGAAAGUGAAACAGGAAAGAAGAAAUAGUCUAUACUUGUACUAGGUUUAAGAGGUAUAGAAAAAACAAAAGACUUUCUAUAUUUGUAUUGCAACCCAUAUACAAAUAUUUGUAUUUUAUUAGAAUUUUGUCAUCAUACCACUUUCUCUGCAUGUUCU